GAGCUUGUUGCGGUGAGAUGUUGGCGAGUGAGAGAUACGCUCCGGCGACGAAGAGAGAAACGCCCGCCGCGAAAAAACCCACCGACACUACUAACUGCCGCCGUGUCGGCGGAUACGACAUAAAAAACACCAUCUUA